rnacentral:rRNA from 1 species
CCUACGGGAGGCAGCAGUGGGGAAUAUUGGACAAUGGGUGGAACCCUGAUCCAGCGACGCCGCGUGAGUGAAGAAGUAUUUCGGUAUGUAAAGCUCUAUCAGCAGGGAAGAAAGACAUGACGGUACCUGACUACGAAGCCCCGGCUAACUACGUGCCAGCAGCCGCGGUAAUACGUAGGGGGCAAGCGUUAUCCGGAUUUACUGGGUGUAAAGGGAGCGUAGACGGCGAUGCAAGUCUGAAGUGAAAGGCGGGGGCCCAACCCCUGGACUGCUUUGGAAACUGUAUGGCUGGAGUGCAGGAGAGGUAAGUGGAAUUCCUAGUGUAGCGGUGAAAUGCGUAGAUAUUAGGAGGAACACCAGUGGCGAAGGCGGCUUACUGGACUGUAACUGACGUUGAGGCUCGAAAGCGUGGGGAGCAAACAGGAUUAGAUACCCGAGUAGUC